rnacentral:tRNA from 1 species
UCCAGGGUAACCUAGUGGACAUGGCAUCUGCCAUGUAAGUGGAACACUGUGGGUUCGAUUCCCAUCCCUGGAC